rnacentral:tRNA from 1 species
GCCGAAGUGGCGGAAUUGGCAGACGCACUUGACUCAAAAUCAAGCGUCCCAAAAGACGUGCCGGUUCGAGUCCGGCCUUCGGCACCA